AGACAAAACAGGGUUCCAAAAAAGUUAAGGUCCUUACUAGAAAAAUAGUUCGGUACACAGGCAUGCAAUCAGGAACAGGCCGACACAUUCUUAAGACGUCACAUGAGAAAACUAACACCAGGAAGGGGCUGGAUCGCUUGUCACAGAGAAGACAGAUUGGCAAAGAGGGAGGGCAGCACAGAGACUAAACACACUACAAGAGGGGAGACAAUGAGACACAGGUGCAACAAAUCAGGGGCAGGCAAGACAAUCGCGGUGGUAGGAAACACACAAGGGCAGGAAGUGGGGAUCUGAAACAAGAGGAAAAAGAGCGACUGCUUCGGCCAUCUCUUGACUCCAGCGUUAACACUAAAGCUUUGAGCUUUGACAUUUUGAUUGGAGAGCUGAGGAAUGACACAGCUUUUCUGGCCAGAUAAGUUUUGGAUUGAGGAAGGCUCUGGAUACUACUACACGUGACCUGGCAGUGAACGACAAGACCAUUUUUUCAGAUCUGUUUGCUUGCAUGACCGAUUAACAGCCCCUCUACGCCUUGUUCAGCUGCCUCAGGCCCGUGACGUACUCAGGCCGUACAGGCCCUGGAGAGCACCUCAGGAAAGAGUGUGAGAAACACCAAGAGAGAGGCGCUCAGCUCUGUUGCUGUGUGUCGGGCAUAAACACGUGACUGCUCUCUAUGUUUCUAAUUCUACCUACUAAGAGACACUAUGCCCAUGAGCUUGGCUGUGACUGGGAAACAUGGUUUGUUCAUGAGUUCAAAGGACAGAAACCAUGGGAAAUGGAUAAGCCUCAUUGUCCAUCUACACAUGUCUUAACUGACCCUAUAACACAGCUGCGACUUCACACCUGGAAAGAGGACUACACAAAACAUGAGGCUAAACCCAAGCACACAAUUCACAUGUCUAGGAGAAGGAAACAAGCGCACAGAAGAAAACAGAACAUUACAACAAUCAAGUCUGCGUGACAUAAAGGCAUGAAUUAGGGUCUCUGCAGCCGACAUGGACAGAAAAGACAGAAUUUUAGAUAUGUAGGUCUUAAUGUCUUUAAUGUGCUGAUCAAAUGAGAGGGUGGGAUCAAAUGUAACACCGAGCUUCUUGGCUGUAAGAAAUCACACAGUGGUCGAGAGUAAGUGUUACUUGAUCAAACUGAUCAAGUUUAAAAAAUCAUGACCCGUAAAGGGCAAGUAGCUACAGGUAAGAGACAGCUUUUCAGUAUGUAUGGCAUCAGUGUUAAAAAGAAAUCUACGAUUGCGUUUAUUGUUACUGAUUAACCAAGAGAAACAUGCUGCUCUUGCAGCAGACAGAGCACACACUUCUGCCAGAGGAGGUAGGAGGCUUCCAGUUUGGAUUUUCACCAUUUGAGCUCCAGUCUCCUGCAGGCCUGCCUAAGAGCACGUGUUUCUUCUGGGAACCAGGGUGUAGACCUCUUUGACCAUCUAGUUUUGGUUUUUGGUCUCUAGUUAAAAUCUCCAACGGUUUAUUUUUUCAAUGUUUUAAUUUCAGAAACACUGAAACAUUGAAUUGUGUACAUUUAAAGAACAGCUGAAAAAAAAUCUUCUUGGACUGACGUCGUAAACAUGGGACGAUUGAGUCUCUCCCACAGCUUCUGUUUGAUUUGGCGUCCGAGCUGUAAACUGUAGGGACGAAUCCGGCCAUUCUUGUACCUACGAGGAGUGGAAGAAAGAGAAAUUACAGAAUAAGAAUACACGUGGUUAAAAAGCUUAAAUGUUUCAGAAAGAUGAGUGAUAGCGGUUUCUGUGAUUUGACAAAUGUGACAGUGAUGUGAUGGACGGAGUCGUGAUUUUUGACACAAACAUACCUCAGCAUAUCAUCUACCACUUCGUGGUAGAUUUUCUGGUACUCUUCCACUGAGCGGUUGUGUAUUUUCACAGGACCGUCGUGGUCUACAGCAGCAAAGCUUGGCUGGUUAUUAGCACUGGAGGGCCGGGGGCCGGGGGGCAGAGUCGAGACUUCUGGCAGGUCAUCAGGUGAAAUGGCGGAUGGAGGCCUCUGGUCCACAUCCACCUUCCCUUCAGGUUCAGCAGAA